rnacentral:lncRNA from 1 species
AUGAUGCUUGGAUUUGGGAAGAUGUUCCUUUGCAGCCUACAUAUGUGGUGGAGAUAGCUGAUCUAAAAUCAAAUAGCCUCCAGUAAUAUCCUCUGUCAUCUCUAGAAUCAACAUCAAGAAGAGUAAGAAAUCUUGCUGAAAUUUAUGAGUCAUGUUACUAUGCUUCUAUUACCUUGGAGUCUAGUUGUUUUGAAGAUACAGAAAGAAAGAAAAAUGGUAUUACAAUGGGUAAAGAGAUUAAAGCAAUUGAGAAGAACAAGACGUGGACCUUGAUGGAUUUACCAGAUAGAAAGAAAGCUAUUAGCCUUAAAUGGAUCUACAAGUCUAAACUCAACUCAGGUGACUCGUUACAAAGGCACAAAGCACAGUUGGUGGCUAAGGGAUAUGCACAAGUUGCAGGUAUCGAUUUCACCGAAACUUAUUCUCCAGUGGUUCAUUUUGAUACUAUUAGAAAACUUUUGGCAUUGGCUGCUAAUAGGGAUUGGAUCGUUUACCAAUUGGACAUAAAAUCUGCUUCUCUUAAUGGUGAUUUGGUGGAAGAAGCAUAUGUUGAAUAGCCCUGAGGAUUUGUGGUGAAAGAUCAAAAAUAGAAGGUGUAGAAAUUGCAUAAGGCACUCUACGGGCUCAAACAUGCUCCGCGAGCCUGGUAUAGCAAAAUUGACUCAUAUUUUACCAAGAACAAUUUUACAAAAAGUGCUAAUGAG